CAGUAAAAGACUUUGAAUUAAUUCACUUUUGUGUAUUACAUCCCAUUUCUCGUUGUUCAUUUAAUUCUUUCCUUAUCCCAGUGACCUUGAUUUGUUUCCUUUCUAUAGGCACCAAAUUAAUGUGACCUGUCUGGAAAACUACUGCUGUAUCAAACAAUGCAACAAAUUCAGAUUUGAUAUUAUAUUUAAGUGCAAAACCAGACCAGAAGUCAGUACAACCUCCAUGAAAAGACUAUAAAUGGACCAGAUUUACAAGAAGAUCAAGUUAAGUGAGAUAAGGUUUAACAGCUUUAAAAAUACAAGGGAAACAUGUCUCAGCAUUUGGGUCUCUGAAUUGACUGGGAACUCUUCCUGAAAAUAGGACUUGUAUACUGAAGGGGAAAUACACAUUUUCAGUGCAUAACCAAGACAAACAUUAUAAUAAACAUUCAGAGCCACUGGCACAUAACUAGG